AGGAGCCUUAGCAGGGGAAGGACUGAGUCACCACUCUGUUGUGACAUAUCAAUGCUGACCACAUGACGCAGAACCUCCGGCGGCAUCAGAGGUCAGAAAGGCCCUUUGGUUGGCACAGGUGGAAAGAACCCUAGCUAUCUAGGUGACCAUGUGAUCUGCAUGCUCAGCAUAGAAGAUAUACCAUUAUUGUUUUUGAAUUUAAGCGAUCUGACUUUGAAAUGACAUCUCAUUCAUUACUGGAACAUCUUCCUGUCUGACUCCAAGAUAAGUGCAAUGCUCUCAUCCUUGGAAGGAAACUCUAGGGACGUGGACUGAUUCGACACGCCCAGUCUUAUCUUCCGAGUAACUGGGGAGGGUAUCUGUACCCAGGCUCUGAUAGCUCCUGUAUUUUUUAUCGAAGUCUGCUCGCAGGAGACCACUUCUGAUCAUUCUACAGAAGAGCUGCCUUGAGUAAACAUAAAUACCAUCUGGAUAAUUAUGCACAAACUCCUCAUAGGUAUUGGCUUCGCUAGUCCGACAGUUGGAGAAGGCAGGCUUGGAAAAAUGCUUGCAAGAAUGAUGACUUCAGUUGCGAUCUCUAGCACUCAGAAAAAGCUCCAUUCUGUAAUUGCAGAGGUCUCCAAGACAGGAGGAUCUCUGGAGUUCAUUGGCCAGUCAGACCAGGCCGACUUAUGAGUGCUAGGGUUGAAGACUCUGACUCAAAAGGUAAGGGAACAAAGCCAUG